ACCUAACUGGCUCAGUCAGUAAAGUGUGUGACUCUUGAUCUUGGGGUUGUGGAUUCGAGCCCCAUGUUGGGUG
rnacentral:tRNA from 1 species